rnacentral:tRNA from 1 species
GAGAGCGUGAUAGUAACUGGAAACGGCUGGCCUUCCAAGCCAUGUCUUGCAGGUUCGAAGCCUGUCGCUCUCUCCA